rnacentral:rRNA from 1 species
UACGGAGGGAGCUAGCGUUAUUCGGAAUUACUGGGCGUAAAGCGCACGUAGGCGGCUUUGUAAGUAAGAGGUGAAAGCCUGGAGCUCAACUCCAGAACUGCCUUUUAGACUGCAUCGCUUGAAUCCAGGAGAGGUGAGUGGAAUUCCGAGUGUAGAGGUGAAAUUCGUAGAUAUUCGGAAGAACACCAGUGGCGAAGGCGGCUCACUGGACUGGUAUUGACGCUGAGGUGCGAAAAGCGUGGGGAGCAAAAGGG